UUCUGGUUGAUCCUGCCGGACCUGACUGCUAUCGGAUUGAUACUAAGCCAUGCGAGUCAUUGUAGCAAUACAAGGCAUACGGCUCAGUAACGCGUAGUCAACCUAACCUAUGGACGGGAAUAACCUCGGGAAACUGAGAAUAAUGCCCGAUAGAACAUUAUACCUGGAAUGGUUUAUGUUCCAAAUGAUUUAUCGCCAUAGGAUGGGACUGCGGCCUAUCAGUUUGUUGGUGAGGUAAUGGCCCACCAAGACUAUUACAGGUACGGGCUCUGAGAGGAGUAGCCCGGAGAUGGGUACUGAGACGCGGACCCAGGCCCUAUGGGGCGCAGCAGGCGAGAAAACUUUGCAAUGUGCGAAAGCACGACAAGGUUAAUCCGAGUGUUUUCUGCUAAAGAAAUCUUUUGCUAGUCAUAAAACCACUAGUGAGUAAGGGGUGGGCAAGUUCUGGUGUCAGCCGCCGCGGUAAAACCAGCACCUCAAGUGGUCAGGAGGAUUGUUGGGCCUAAAGCAUCCGUAGCCUGCUUUGUAAGUUUUCGGUUAAAUCCAUGCGCUUAACGCAUGGGCUGCCGAAAAUACUGCACAGCUAGGGAGUGGGAGAGGUAGACGGUACUCAGUAGGAAGGGGUAAAAUCCUUUGAUCUAUUGAUGACCACCUGUGGCGAAGGCGGUCUACCAGAACACGUUCGACGGUGAGGGAUGAAAGCUGGGGGAGCAAACCGGAUUAGAUACCCGGGUAGUCCCAGCUGUAAACGAUGCAGACUCGAUGAUGCAUUGGCAUAUAGCCAGUGCAGUGUCGCAGGGAAGCCGUUAAGUCUGCCGCCUGGGAAGUACGUACGCAAGUAUGAAACUUAAAGGAAUUGGCGGGGGAGCACCACAAGGGGUGAAGCCUGCGGUUCAAUUGGACUCAACGCCGGGA
rnacentral:rRNA from 1 species